CCUACGGGUGGCUGCAGUAAGGAAUAUUGGUCAAUGGGCGCAAGCCUGAACCAGCCAUGCCGCGUGAAGGAUGACGGCCCUAUGGGUUGUAAACUUCUUUUGUACGGGAAAAAACCUCUGGUCGUGAAUCAGAGCUGAUGGUACCGUAAGAAUAAGCAUCGGCUAACUCCGUGCCAGCAGCCGCGGUAAUACGGAGGAUGCAGACGUUAUCCGGAUUCAUGGGGUUUAAAGGGAACAAAGGGGGAGCAAUGAAAGCCUACAGCUUAACUGUAGAACUGCCAUUGAUACUGUUAUUCUUGAGUGUUGUUGAGGUAGGCGGAAUGUGUCAUGUAGCGGUGAAAUGCUUAGAUAUGACACAGAACACCGAUCGCGAAGGCAGCUUACCAAGCAACAACUGACGCUCAUGCACGAAAGCGUGGGGAUCAAACAGGAUUAGAUACCCCUGUAGUC
rnacentral:rRNA from 1 species